rnacentral:rRNA from 1 species
CCUACGGGCGGCAGCAGUGGGGAAUAUUGGGCAAUGGAGGCAACUCUGACCCAGCAACGCCGCGUGAAUGAUGAAGGUCUUCGGAUUGUAAAGUUCUGUGAUGGGGGAUGAACACAAUGACGGUACCUCAAUAGCAAGUCACGGCUACCUACGUGCCAGCAGCCGCGGUAAUACGUAGGUGGCAAGCGUUAUCCGGAAUGACUGGGCGUAAAGGGUGCGUAGGUGGUUUAGUAAGUUGGCGGUGUAAUUCCGGGGCUCAACCUCGGCGCUACCGCCAAAACUAUUAGACUAGAGUGCGGGAGGGGUAAGUGGAAUUCCUAGUGUAGCGGUGGAAUGCGUAGAUAUUAGGAGGAACAUCAGGGGCGAAGGCGACUUACUGGACUGUAACUGACACUGAGGCACGAAAGCGUGGGGAGCAAACAGGAUUAGAUACCCGGGUAGUC